AGCCGGACUCCCAGGCGGCAGCGGUAGCGGCGGCGAGGACGGCGGCGGCGGCGACGGCAGAGAGUUCAUAUGGGAAGGACAUUGGGGUGAGCAUCUUCUCUAUUUGCAGCUGGCUUUUCUGAUUCACCCUACCAUUUAAAACCUGGAGGCACUGGCCCACACAAAGCCUUGCUGAUUUCAGGAAAGAAGAGUCAUCAAAGAUGUCCAGCAAGACAGCGAGCACCAACAGCACAGCCCAAGCUAGGAGAACUGUGCAGCAGCUGAGAUUGGAAGCCUCCAUCGAAAGAAUAAAGGCAAGUGUACUCGACAUGGUGGUGUGUGCUGGGUAACUCCCCACCCUUCCUGGGCGGGAGCAUAGGUCGGGGAAGAUACAGCGAGUGCAGCUGGCUUCCAGG
rnacentral:lncRNA from 1 species